rnacentral:rRNA from 1 species
UACGUAGGGUGCAAGCGUUGUCCGGAUUUAUUGGGCGUAAAGGGCUCGUAGGCGGCGUGUCGCGUCGGGAGUGAAAGACCGGGGCUUAACCCCGGUUCUGCUUCCGGUACGGGCAUGCUGGAGUGUGGCAGGGGAGACUGGAAGUUCCUGGUGUAGCGGUGGAAGUGCGCAGAUAUCAGGGAGGAACACCGGUGGCGAAGGCGGGUCUCUGGGCCAUUACUGACGCUGGAGGAGCGAAAGCCGUGGGGAGCGAACAGG